GCCCUUAUAGCUCAGUGGUAGAGCGCAUCACUAGUAUUAUGAUGAGGUCCUCUGUUCGAGUCAGGGUGAGGGCA
rnacentral:tRNA from 1 species